CUGGGUGUGGCUCAACCUGGUAGAGCACCGGCUUCGGGAGCCGGGGACUGGGGGUUCGAAUCCCCCCACCCAGACCG
rnacentral:tRNA from 2 species